GUAGAUAUUAGAAAGAAUACCAAUUGCGAAGGCAGCUUUCUGGAUCAUUACUGACACUGAGGAACGAAAGCAUGGGUAGCGAAGAGGAUUAGAUACCCUCGUAGUCCAUGCCGUAAACGAUGUGUGUUAGACGUUGGAAAUUUAUUUUCAGUGUCGCAGGGAAACCGAUAAACACACCGCCUGGGGAGUACGACCGCAAGGUUAAAACUCAAAUGAAUUGACGGGGACCCGCACAAGUAGUGGAGCAUGUGGUUUAAUUCGAAGAUACGCGCAGAACCUUACCAACACUUGACAUGUUCGUCGCGACUCUAAGAGAUUAGAGUUUUCGGUUCGGCCGGACGAAACACAGGUGCUGCAUGGCUGUCGUCAGCUCGUGUCGUGAGAUGUUGGGUUAAGUCCCGCAACGAGCGCAACCCUCACUUUUAGUUGCCAUCAUUAAGUUGGGCACUCUGAAAGAACUGCCAGUGAUAAGCUGGAGGAAGGUGGGGAUGACGUCAAGUCCUCAUGGCCCUUACGUGUUGGGCUACACACGUGCUACAAUGGUAUCUACAACAGGAAGCAAGACUGCGAAGUUAAGCAAAUCCCUAAAAGAUACCUCAGUUCGGAUUGCACUCUGCAACUCGAGUGCAUGAAGCUGGAAUUACUAGUAAUCGUGGAUCAGCGUGCCACGGUGAAUGCGUUCCCGGGUCUUGUACACACCGCCCGUCACACCAUGGGAGUUGGUUCUACCUUAAGGCAAGGUUUCAAACCCUUGACCACGGUAUAGUCAGCGACUGGGGUGAAGUCGUAACAAGGUAA
rnacentral:rRNA from 1 species